GGCCCCCCAGGGUUGUACAGAGCCAUUGUGACCCUGUACAUUCUUCUUGCUCUGCUUUCCAUCGUCCUGUUGGCCUGGAUCCUGGUAAAGAAUUCUGAGAUGUCCCGGGAGAUGCUCUUCUUGAAAAUGGAGAUCUCGAAUGUCUCUCACUCAGCACUUGAGUGCCGGGAAGGGCAGAAGG